rnacentral:misc_RNA from 1 species
AAGGUAAUGACUUUCUGAAAGACUGGAUUGCUUCACUGGUCCUCUCCUUGCUUGUGGUGGGUCAUCCUUGUUACGGCUUCGUUUUCUAUACAUCCCUCCAUAGCUUUGGGUUGAUUAGUGCUAUGCUGCUAUUGCAAUAUGUGUCCUCUCAAAUAUAUAGGAUCAAGAAAACAACAGGCGAGGUGAAAUCAAUCAAAGCUCACAAACCAAGUUAAUCACUCACUUUAAAGGCAAUGGCGCACCCACUGAGGACUACAUUGACUUGGGGUUUUCGGCAUCCACAUCAGCGGUGACGAGGAUCGUUUCGUGAUAAAUGGCUCCAUGGAAAGUUUUGAUGAGACUACAAGAGUAGACACCACCUAUAUGGUGCACGAAAUCUUUCGGUCUCACCUUGAGUUGAAGCUGCCAAUGCUCUGAUGUGAUGUGGGUGAGAAUGCAUGUGUAUAUAGUCUUUGUUGCAGCCCAAAAUUCAACAAAAUUUUCAUCAAAAUCUAAACACAUUAUGUAUCUUUGCCAAACCAGAUAAAAGCGGAUUGUGCUACCUAACCUAGUAGGUAUGGAUGAGAAAUUCAGACUCUUUCAUUUCACCUCGCCAUUUCUGGUGAAAUCACGCCAAGGACAGGACUUAUGGAGAUUGUGCAAAGCCUAUCGAUAAGAGGAAAGGAGGAGCAAUGAUGGUGAAGCUUUGGUCUCUAGUUCGCGAUUUCAGGUGCAACAAAGCUCACUGAAGCUUAUUCUUGCAUCAAUAAGCAAAACAAAGGAAACACCGGUGAUGGGAGGCAUUGAAUUGAUUUGAUGAGUCACCUAUAUGUUCAUUUGAUAGCAUAUAUAUAAGAUGUUACAAGAUGUGAAAACAAUUAUAGAUGGUGGAAGCGAUGGAAGCUGCCUUGAUGGGUUGCUUACUAAUGGUCGUGGAUCCAAUGGGUAACAAAUUCAAUUCAAAAUUAGUGAGAUUAAAAUUAUUCUUCCAUAUGACAGAUUGAUUGUGCUUGUAUUGGUAUUUUUGUAUUGAAUUGACUCUUCUACUUCUAUUAUUGGAUAAUAUUUAUGAUUGAGAUAAGUAUGGUUGGAAAAGAUGGGAUAGUGAAAGAGGAGUGGAAAUUUGGAUUUUGUCAUUCUCGUUUACAUAAGAGGAGAUAGAGCAAUAAUGAAUUUUUUAUUUGUAGAAAAUUAUAAUUAAA